GAGUAUUAGAGUAGCAGAGGAGAGCAGAGCCAGACACUGGCCACACUCACUCCUGGACAAAAACACACGGAGCGCUUUUCUGGACACUCAAAGAUGCUUCACAAACAAAACAAAAGAACAAAGGAGCUCAAGAAAAAGCAAGUUUGAACAGAGCCCUGAGGGGAAUCUGAAACAGGAAGUGUCUGCUGAAGGGCCUAACCGUCUACCUUGGGGAAGACGUAGACAAACUGUUCAGAGAGUUUUCUGGUUGGAAGGAUGAAGCAGAACAAGAGCUCGUCUGGCUGCAGAAUUAUUCUAAUUCAUGAUUUCUGCUUUGAGUCCAUGAAGGUGGGGCAUAUUUUUAAAAAGAUAUCAUAAUAAACAAGGCCCUCUGAA